rnacentral:rRNA from 1 species
CCUACGGGUGGCAGCAGUGGGGAAUAUUGCACAAUGGGCGCAAGCCUGAUGCAGCCAUGCCGCGUGUGUGAAGAAGGCCUUCGGGUUGUAAAGCACUUUCAGCGGGGAGGAAGGCGGUGAGGUUAAUAACCUUAUCGAUUGACGUUACCCGCAGAAGAAGCACCGGCUAACUCCGUGCCAGCAGCCGCGGUAAUACGGAGGGUGCAAGCGUUAAUCGGAAUUACUGGGCGUAAAGCGCACGCAGGCGGUCUGUCAAGUCGGGUGUGAAAUCCCCGGGCUCAACCUGGGAACUGCAUUCGAAACUGGCAGGCUAGAGUCUUGUAGAGGGGGGUAGAAUUCCAGGUGUAGCGGGUAAAUUCGUAGAGAUCUGGAGGAAUACCGGUUGCGAAGGCGGCCCCCUGGACAAAGACUGACGCUCAGGUGCGAAAGCGUGGGGAGCAAACAGGAUUAGAUACCCUUGUAGUC